rnacentral:rRNA from 1 species
AUGUGCUGGUACAUGAAUGAGGAGUGCCAUCACUCUGCGCACGCCAUCAUAAUGGCGGACCGCCACCAGCCGAUCCCGCCGUCCGCGUGCAGCAACUGCGUCACCGAGCGCGCCCUCGUCUUCUGCUUCGCCGACGGCGCCAGGCUCUGCCUCCAGUGCGACGCCGCCCUGCACGGCGCCAGCGCGCUCGCGAGCCUCCACCGGCGCGCCCCGCUCUGCGACGCCUGCGUCGUCGCGCCCGCCGCGCUCCGCUACCAAGUCGGCGGCCACCGGGCCACGCUCUGCACCGACUGCGCCGACCGCCUCGCCCUGCCGGACGGCGGCGCCUCCCUCGUGCAAGAGUACACCGGCUGCCCCACGCCCGCCGAGAUCCUCCGCAUCCUCUCCGUCGAAGCGCCGUCCUCGCAGGAUGACUUCGACGCCUGGCUCGCCGACGUCCUCCCACAAUUCCUACAGGAGAUUCAGUGA